rnacentral:rRNA from 1 species
CCGUAGGCGGCCCUCUUUCUCCUUAUUUACUGGUCUUAAAUUUCGUUCAUGCUGUCUUCUAAUUUCGUUGUUAAAGCGCCCAGGCUUAACCGGGCGAGGACAAUGAAGACUGGUCAGCUAGAGGACGGUAGAGGGGUGUGGAAUUCCGGGUGUAGUGGUGAAAUGCGUAGAGAUCCGGAGGAACACCAGAGGCGAAGGCGACACCCUGGGCCGUACCUGACGCUAAGACGCGACAGCACGGGGAGCGAACGG